UACGUAGGUGGCAAGCGUUGUCCGGAAUUAUUGGGGGUAAAGCGCGCGCAGGUGGUUUCUUAAGUCUGAUGGGAAAGCCCACGGCUCAACCGUGGAGGGUCAUUGGAAACUGGGGAACUUGAGUGCGGGAGAGAAGAGUGGAAUUCCACGUGUAGCGGUGAAAUGCGUAGAGAUGUGGAGGAACACCAGUGGCGAAGGCGACUCUUUGGCCUGUAACUGACACUGAGGCGCGAAAGCGUGGGGAGCAAACAGG
rnacentral:rRNA from 1 species